rnacentral:tRNA from 1 species
GACGAGGUGGCCGAGUGGUUAUAUACGAUGGACUGCUAAUCCAUUGUGCUUUGCGGCGUGGUUUGAAUCCCAUCCCCGUCG